rnacentral:rRNA from 1 species
AGGUAUGCUUUAGGAGGGGCUUGCGCCAUAUUAGUUAGUUGGUAGGGUAAUGGCCUACCAAGACGAUGAUGUGUAGCUGGACUGAGAGGUUGAACAGCCACAUUGGGACUGAGACACGGCCCAAACUCCUACGGGAGGCAGCAGUAGGGAAUUUUCGGCAAUGGAGGAAACUCUGACCGAGCAACGCCGCGUGAAUGACGAAGUACUUCGGUAUGUAAAGUUCUUUUAUCAAGGAAGAAAAGCAAAUGGCGAACCAUUUGUUUGCCGGUACUUGAUGAAUAAGCCCCGGCUAAUUAUGUGCCAGCAGCCGCGGUAAGACAUAAGGGGCAAGUGUUAUCCGGAAUUAUUGGGCGUAAAGGGUGCGUAGGCGGUCUAGUAAGUCAGUGGUGUAAUGGCAACGCUUAACGUUGUCCGGCUAUUGAAACUGCUAAACUUGAGUUAGAUAGAGGCGAGUGGAAUUCCAUGUGUAGCGGUAAAAUGCGUAAAUAUAUGGAGGAACACCAGAGGCGUAGGCGGCUCGCUGGGUCUUAACUGACGCUGAGGCACGAAAGCGUGGGGAGCAAACAGGAUUAGAUACCCUGGUAGUCCACGCCGUAAACGAUGAGUACUAAGUGUCGGGUUAAACCGGUACUGAAGUUAACACAUUAAGUACUCCGCCUGAGUAGUACGUACGCAAGUAUGAAACUUAAAGGAAUUGACGGGACUCCGCACAAGCGGUGGAUCAUGUUGUUUAAUUCGAAGAUACCCGAAAAACCUUACCAGGUCUUGACAUGUUUUUGCAAAAUGAUAGUAAUAUCGUGGAGGUUACCAGAAACACAGGUGGUGCAUGGUUGUCGUCAGCUCGUGUCGUGAGAUGUUAGGUUAAGUCCUAAAACGAGCGAAACCCUUAUCGUUAGUUGCCAGCACGUUAUGGUGGGGACUUUAACGAGACUGCCAAUGAUAAAUUGGAGGAAGGUGAGGAUCACGUCAAAUCAGCAUGCCCCUUAUGACCUGGGCUACAAACGUGAUACAAUGGCUGUUACAAAGGGUAGCUGAAACGCAAGUUCUUGGCCAAUCCCCAAAAACAGUCCCAGUCCGGAUUGAAGUCUGCAACUCGACUUCAUGAAGUUGGAAUCGCUAGUAAUCGCGA